GCCAGGCUGAUGAGAGGAAGGGGACUCUCCCUUUUAAGCUGCUCACGACCCCCUUGGCUAGUCGAUGUGGGACUAAAGCCGAGGCACUGACUACCGGCCCCUAACAUCCCACCCCCCUUGGGAAGCCCCCCAAGGCAGACAUGGGCCAACCGGGUUCUGAUACCAGAUGUCAGCGUCCAACCCCUGGCCCAGCCCACACUCAAUAGCUUCGGGCGUUGAUGCGCUCGUGGGCUAGCCUAGCCAAGAGAGCCCACCACUCACAUCCCAAAAGCCAGGCUGAUGGAAGGAGGGGGACUCUCCCUUUUAAGCUGCCUACGGCCCCCUUGGCUAGCCGAUGUGGGACUAAAGCCGGGGCACUGACUACCGGCCCCUAACAUCCCACCCCCUUGGGAAGCCCCGCGAGGCAGGCAUGGGCCAACCGGGCUCUGAUACCAGAUGUCAGCGUCCAACCCCCGGCCCAGCCCACACUCGACAGCUUCAGGUGUUCAUGCGCUCGUGGGCUGGCUCAGCCAAGAGAGUCCACCACUCACAUCCCAAAAG
rnacentral:lncRNA from 1 species